rnacentral:RNase_P_RNA from 1 species
AAGCAGGCAGAAGGUGGCUGCCCGUUAUUAAUUUAAUAACGGGAGGAAAGUCCGGGCUCCAGAGGAUAACGUAAUGGGUAACCCCCAUCCCGUAUAUAUAAUGUAUACGGAGGAUUUCCGCCACAAAUCGUGGUGGACUCGCCAAUUUUUUUGGCGGGAGAGCCACAGAGACGAGUAUCCGCGCAAGUGGAGAGGUGAAACGCGGCAAUCUCUACGUGGAGCAAAGUAGAAUAGGAGAUGAGUGCUGAUCCAGCGCGUUUCCCGUUUUAGGCGGGAAGAAAUCUCGGGUAAACUGCUAAAGUUACCGUGGUAACGCGGGAAUUGAGAGGAAUAGCCACUAAUUGAUGUGCAGGCAGGCAUCAAGACAGAACCCGGCUUAUUCUGCUUGCUUUAAA